rnacentral:rRNA from 1 species
AUUGAACGCUGGCGGCAUGCCUUACACAUGCAAGUCGAACGGUAACGGGCCUUCGGGUGCCGACGAGUGGCGAACGGGUGAGUAAUACAUCGGAACGUGCCCGAUCGUGGGGGAUAACGAGGCGAAAGCUUUGCUAAUACCGCAUACGAUCUACGGAUGAAAGCAGGGGACCGCAAGGCCUUGCGCGGACGGAGCGGCCGAUGGCAGAUUAGGUAGUUGGGGGGAUAAAAGCUUACCAAGCCGACGAUCUGUAGCUGGUCUGAGAGGAUGAUCAGCCACACUGGGACUGGGACACGGCCCAGACUCCUACGGGAGGCAGCAGUGGGGAAUUUUGGACAAUGGGCGCAAGCCUGAUCCAGCCAUGCCGCGUGCAGGAUGAAGGCCUUCGGGUUGUAAACUGCUUUUGUACGGAACGAAAAGCCUUCUUUUAAUACAGGAGGGUCAUGACGGUACCGUAAGAAUAAGCACCGGCUAACUACGUG